UACGGAGGGGGCGAGUGUUGUUCGGAAUUACUGGGCGUAAAGGGCGCGUAGGCGGCCUGGCAAGUCGAGUGUGAAAGCCCUUGGCUUAACUGAGGAAUGGCGCUCGAAACUACCUGGCUUGAGGGCGGGAGAGGGAAGUGGAACUCUCGGUGUAGGGGUGAAAUCUGUAGAGAUCGAGAGGAACACCGGUGGCGAAGGCGGCUUCCUGGCCCGUCCCUGACGCUGAGGCGCGAAAGCGUGGGGAGCAAACAGGAUUAGAAACCCGCGUAGUCC
rnacentral:rRNA from 1 species